rnacentral:rRNA from 1 species
CAGUCGCCGCGGUAAAACGAGGGGAGCUAGCGUUGUUCGGAAUUACUGGGCGUAAAGCGCGCGUAGGCGGCUUUUUAAGUCAGAGGUGAAAGCCCGGGGCUCAACCCCGGAAUUGCCUUUGAAGCUGGAAAGCUAGAAUCUUGGAGAGGUCAGUGGAAUUCCGAGUGUAGAGGUGAAAUUCGUAGAUAUUCGGAAGAACACCAGUGGCGAAGGCGACUGACUGGACAAGUAUUGACGCUGAGGUGCGAAAGCGUGGGGAGCAAACAGGAUUAGAUACCCCUGUAGUCCCUGUCUCUUAUAC